ensembl:lncRNA
CUGGAAGCCCCGCCCCAUAGGCCCGCCUCUCGAGGCCCCGCCCAGUAGGCCCGCCCCUCGCACUUAAACCCCGCCCUCACUAGAAGCCCCGCCCCGCCUCGCCGCCCGCGAGGCCUCAGUCCCCGAGCGGUAGCCGCGCUGGAUCCCGGUGGCGGUCUCCGCGCGGCCGGAAGCCCACGCGGGCGGUGGUGGGGAGGGGCCGCGCGGGCCUGGGGAGGGGCAGCCCUCGGGGAGGUGGAAGCAGGGUCGGUGCACGGCGCUCCUUUGGGAACCCAGCCUGCUGCCUGACCGGAAAAGACCCCCGAGGACCACCUCCUCCUUCCCUCUGAGAGCAGAAAGGAAAAGGCUGCAGGCCUCCUCACCCCAGGUGUUAGCAGGACACCGGAAUCGAGCAGAGACGGGAGGGAGGGCGAGCGCUGACCCACGUCCCUCCCCAGCCCCCCUCAGGGGUCGCUUCUGGAAGCCCCCUCGGCAGAGCUCUUCGUCUGCCUUCCUUUGUAGGUGGCCGGGCGCCCAGGAUCGCAAGCCAUUUAGCACCUCUGGAGGUCAAAGCACUGUCUGCGAAGAGAAAUACACACGUGGCAAAGCCUCUGCCUAUCAAUCUGGAGGGAAACGCAAACACGCUGGGACCUGCCAGCCAGCCUGAUGGGAGCAGCAGCACCUGGGUGUGUGGACGCUUUCGUGAACACAGGAGGACAUCCCGGGAGGUAUCAGGGCAAAAAAGGCUACCAAAAUAAUAGAGUCAGAAGUGACUAUGGGUUGAAACCGUAGCACCCUUACUCCAAGGUUGGAAGAUUUUUGUGGAAAAUGAACAUAUUUUAUUAGAAGACAUGGAGGACUUCCUGGAGCAGGAUGGGCAAACACACCCUAGUGUUUACCUGAUAUUGGAAAGGAAAGUUUUCCUCCUGCCUCUGCAGCCUUGGGUGAAUGUGUAUGUGAAACACAGAUCACCGCUAAUGUGUCCCCAGUUCAGAUUUCUGCAUCUGCAAGUUCAGAAUUAUGGUGAUUUUGACAAGUGGCAUCACACCCAAAGCCAUCUUUUACCUCUUCUUUGCUGAUUGCUUACUAUCAAGACUCAGCUCAAAAAUCAUCUCCUGGUUGGAACUUUCCCCACCUUCCCGGGGAAAAAGGAAUGGCUCUGUGCUACAUGCUUCUGGGAAUGUCCAACAUGAAAAAUAAAAUUUUGAAAAAGUUGCGGGACAGUCAGUAGGGAAAACUUAAUAUAUGCUUAUAGUUGUCACAUUUAAAAUUUGUUAUUUGUCAACACUUUAAACGCAUUAAGGAAGAAUUGAAGAGAAUAGUGAAAAUUUAACACGACCCAAAGGAAAGUGUUAAAGGAGUAAGAGAUAGCUGGAAACUGUUUUUUAAAUUUGAAUUUUCAUUCCUGAUUUUUAUUGAAGUUAUGUUAACAAUCUCAGGCUUUAGAAGUUACUUAAAAACUGUUACCAAAUUAUAACAUUCAACAUAGAGUUAUAUCUUUAAAAAAUAGAAGCAUUCAAUUGAGAAAAAUAUAAAUAGAUAGGAGAGAUAAAAUAGUACUUUAAAUUUUAGGAGGUAGAUUCAUCUUUUAUGAUUCUUUUAUUUUCAUAAUGAAGUUUUUCACUCACUAGCCUAGCAUUAAUUACCAAACUCCAGAUAUACUAUCUACUAUGCUAAAAAAAAACAAAACUUAAGCUUUCACUGUAUAUUGAAACUUAUUAACAUUGUAAAGAUAAUUUUUUAAAUUGUAAUGACAAAUUACUUAUUAAAGUGAAAUGUGUCUUAAAUUUAAUGGACUUACAGCUAAAUAACAAAAUGUUUUCAAGUGUAACAAUUAAGAAAAAUGAAAUAUAAAAUUUUUAAAAGAUAUCUAUGAAGCAGUAUGAAUGCUCUCAAAGAACCAUCAAAAAUAAGGAAAAUAUAAAUAAUGUCAUUUUAUAUUUCUCCUUUUUUCAGUUCUAGUCUCUGGAUAACACCUCUUACUGGUGAUUGCCUUCGUUUUGUAGGUCUAGCUCUUCUAAUUCUAAUUGAAUGAGAGAGUGUAUAUAAAGAGCUUAGAACAAUCUUCACCCCUGGUAUGUGCUCGAAAAAUGGCAACUAUUGUUCAUUAUACAAAUAAUUUAUAGAAAUCAAGGCUUCUGGUAAGGCAGAGCCAUGGAUAAUUUAAAGGUUUUAGCUUAAUCAAUUUGAAAAAAUGAGAAUUAGAAAAAUCUUUGGGAGUAUUUACUAAAAAUAUAACUUCAAUAAUUUGCUGUAGUCAUUCUAACUCAACAAUGUUUAAAUCUUUUGUAUCUUUUUAAUAAAAGUUUUAAUAUGCCUAAAGGAAAGCUACUUGUGUUACAGUUAGAUAUUUAACCUAAACACUUUCAUUUCCAUUAUCUGGCAUACUGAAACUGCAAACUCAUUGUCAUAGUGAGAUGUUUCAACAAUGUUUAUAUCGUGUAAACAGAGGACCAUGACAGAGCAAGUUAUUUUGAAACAACUUAUUAAUAUGUGAACAUCAAAGUGCUUAGUAUGAAAAAAAUAACCACUGGAAGCAUGGCUUUGAAAGAACAAUAACCGGUUGACUUUGUCUUAGGUAUCUAUUGCUGUACAACAAAUUACUGUAAUCAUAGCAGGUCAAAGUAACGAU